UACGUAGGGUGCGAGCGUUAAUCGGAAUUACUGGGCGUAAAGCGUGCGCAGGCGGCGCGUUAAGACAGGUGUGAAAGCCCCCGAGCUUAACUUGGGAAUUGCGCUUGUGACUGGCGUGCUGGAGUGUGGCAGAGGGAGGUGGAAUUCCACGUGUAGCAGUGAAAUGCGUAGAGAUGUGGAGGAACACCGAUGGCGAAGGCAGCCUCCUGGGUCAGCACUGACGCUCAUGCACGAAAGCGUGGGGAGCAAACAGG
rnacentral:rRNA from 1 species